rnacentral:rRNA from 1 species
AAUGAACGCUGGCGGCAUGCCUAACACAUGCAAGUCGAACGAGGCCUUCGGGUCUAGUGGCGCACGGGUGCGUAACGCGUGGGAACCUGCCCUUAGGUUCGGAAUAACUCCCCGAAAGGGGUGCUAAUACCGGAUAAUGUCUUCGGACCAAAGAUUUAUCGCCUUUGGAUGGGCCCGCGUUGGAUUAGCUAGUUGGUAGGGUAAAAGCCUACCAAGGCGACGAUCCAUAGCUGGUCUGAGAGGAUGAUCAGCCACACUGGGACUGAGACACGGCCCAGACUCCUACGGGAGGCAGCAGUGGGGAAUAUUGGACAAUGGGCGAAAGCCUGAUCCAGCAAUGCCGCGUGAGUGAUGAAGGCCUUAGGGUUGUAAAGCUCUUUUACCCGGGAUGAUAAUGACAGUACCGGGAGAAUAAGCUCCGGCUAACUCCGUG